rnacentral:rRNA from 1 species
UACGAAGGGGGCUAGCGUUGCUCGGAAUUACUGGGCGUAAAGCGCACGUAGGCGGAUUGUUAAGUCGGGGGUGAAAUCCUGGAGCUCAACUCCAGAACUGCCUUCGAUACUGGCGAUCUCGAGUUUGGGAGAGGUGAGUGGAACUGCGAGUGUAGAGGUGAAAUUCGUAGAUAUUCGCAAGAACACCAGUGGCGAAGGCGGCUCACUGGCCCGAUACUGACGCUGAGGUGCGAAAGCGUGGGGGAGCAAACAGG